UCCCCAGCCAUCUGGGCUGAGCCUGUUCUGGCCUGGGCACACUCUGGGACCUGUCGCCUUCAAUGCACACAGCCACCUUUAUCCAAAGCUUAUAGAUCUUAAAACCACAUGGUCCACACCACACACACACACACACACAAACACGGGGGCGGUGGGGGACUUUGCAAUAGGUGCUGAGGUCUUGGCAGGGAUGGGGGCUCUAAGCUGAAAGAACUUUCCCUAGAGGAACAGGUCGCCAAAAACCACUCACAAGCUCCACUGCCCUCCAGCAAAGCCUUUAGCCAUCCAAGUGUGAGAGGAGCCUGGAAAGGGGUAUUAGGUCCCCUACAAGGGGCCCACUCCACCUCCGUGCAGAAACACCAGCAACGUGUACCUCCUGAAGAGAACCGACCCGGAGAUGGAGGGAAAAGCAGCGCCUUCCUCAGUUCAUUUGUCCAGUCAUUCAACAAUCGUUUACUGAAUACCUACCAGGUCCCGGACACUGUCCUAAGUGCUGGGGACAGACACAAAUGCAGCCGAUCCGGGACAGCUGUAUUCAGGACCAGCUUUGCUUGCUGGUAGCAAGUGCCUGUGUCAGAUGUGAAAGGACAAUUAGAUACAACAGAGAUGACUGAGAAGAUCCACUGGGUUUCAUUUGGAGUCAACAGCCUUGUUUUCAAGGCUGCAUUAACGGUUGCCAUGUAAGAACGAACCUUCUU